CCAUCCUUUAAAGAGUGCGUAACAGCUCACUAGUCGAAUGACUCUGCGCCGAUAAUUUACCGGGGCUAAGUAUAUUACCGAAGCUAUGGAUUUGCGAUGAGCAAGUGGUAGGGGAGCGUUCUAUGAGCGAAGAAGCAGUACCGGAAGGAGCUGUGGAGCAUAUAGAAGAGAGAAUGCCGGUGUGAGUAGCGGAACGUGGGUGAGAAUCCCACGCACCGAAAACCCAAGGUUUCCAGAGGAAGGUUCGUCCGCUCUGGGUAAGUCGGGACCUAAGGCGAGGCCGAGAGGCGUAGUCGAUGGACAACAGGUAGAGAUUCCUGUACUUACGGUAUGAAUGAAGGAGUGACGGAGAAGGCUAGGUGAUCCUGCGGCUGGAAGAGCAGGUGCAAGCGAGGUAGCAGAUAUCCAGGCAAAUCCGGAUGUCGAGAAAGCGAAGGCGUGAAGCGGAUGGAAAGCCAAGGCAAGUACAGAAGUCAUUGAAGCCAGCUUCCAAGAAAAGCUUCUAGUGAAAAUCAUACAGUAACCCGUACCGAAAAUGGACACACAUGGGUGAGGAGAGAAUCCUAAGGUGAGCGAGAGAACUAUAGCUAAGGAACUCUGCAAAAUGACUCCGUAACUUAGGGAGAAGGAGUGCUCAUAGAGAUAUGAGCCGCAGUGAAACGGCCCAAGCGACUGUUUACCAAAAACACAGCUCUAUGCUAAGUCGAAAGACGACGUAUAUGGGGUGACGCCUGCCCGGUGCUGGAAGGUUAAGAGGAUGUGUCAGCGCAAGCGAAGCACUGAAUUGAAGCCCCAGUAAACGG
rnacentral:rRNA from 1 species